GACGAACGCUGGCGGCGUGCCUAAUACAUGCAAGUAGAACGCUGAAGGAGGAGCUUGCUUCUCUGGAUGAGUUGCGAACGGGUGAGUAACGCGUAGGUAACCUGCCUGGUAGCGGGGGAUAACUAUUGGAAACGAUAGCUAAUACCGCAUAAUAUUGACUAUUGCAUGAUAGUCAGUUGAAAGGUGCAACUGCACCACUACCAGAUGGACCUGCAUUGUAUUAGCUAGUUGGUGGGGUAACGGCUCACCAAGGCGACGAUACAUAGCCGACCUGAGAGGGUGAUCGGCCACACUGGGACUGAGACACGGCCCAGACUCCUACGGGAGGCAGCAGUAGGGAAUCUUCGGCAAUGGACGGAAGUCUGACCGAGCAACGCCGCGUGAGUGAAGAAGGUUUUCGGAUCGUAAAGCUCUGUUGUAAGAGAAGAACGAGUGUGAGAGUGGAAAGCUCACACUGUGACGGUAUCUUACCAGAAAGGGACGGCUAACUACGU
rnacentral:rRNA from 1 species